rnacentral:miRNA from 1 species
UUGUGAUUUGCAGCUAGUAGUCUGGGUCCAGUUGCAUAGUCACAAAAAUGAUC